rnacentral:snRNA from 1 species
UUCUCUCUUUGUGAGCUUU